rnacentral:lncRNA from 1 species
CCUAAACAUAAGUUGUGUGAAGAGACCAAGCAGUUUAUAUGCUUAUAAAAAAGCUGAUAUUAAAAUGAAUAACUGUAUAACAAAUUCCGGGAAUGAGACUAUUUUAUUUAAAACAGAUGACAUAUGUUUUAAAUAAAAUAUAUUGGUGGAAAAGGUUUAAACAGAAGCAGGAGAUGUCAAGGGGUAAUACAAAAAGUACAAGGUCGUGUAACACAGAGGAAAAAAUAACAAAUGAAAAGAAAAUAACUGCACC